rnacentral:rRNA from 1 species
UUAACACAUGCAAGUCGAACGAUGAUGCCCAGCUUGCUGGGUGGAUUAGUGGCGAACGGGUGAGUAACACGUGAGUAACCUGCCCCUGACUCUGGGAUAAGCGUUGGAAACGACGUCUAAUACUGGAUAUGACUACCGGCCGCAUGGUCUGGUGGUGGAAAGAUUUUUUGGUUGGGGAUGGACUCGCGGCCUAUCAGCUUGUUGGUGAGGUAAUGGCUCACCAAGGCGACGACGGGUAGCCGGCCUGAGAGGGUGACCGGCCACACUGGGACUGAGACACGGCCCAGACUCCUACGGGAGGCAGCAGUGGGGAAUAUUGCACAAUGGGCGAAAGCCUGAUGCAGCAACGCCGCGUGAGGGAUGACGGCCUUCGGGUUGUAAACCUCUUUUAGUAGGGAAGAAGCGAAAGUGACGGUACCUGCAGAAAAAGCACCGGCUAACUACGUGCCAGCAGCCGCGGUAAUACGUAGGGUGCAAGCGUUGUCCGGAAUUAUUGGGCGUAAAGAGCUCGUAGGCGGUUUGUCGCGUCUGCUGUGAAAUCCCGAGGCUCAACCUCGGGCUUGCAGUGGGUACGGGCAGACUAGAGUGCGGUAGGGGAGAUUGGAAUUCCUGGUGUAGCGGUGGAAUGCGCAGAUAUCAGGAGGAACACCGAUGGCGAAGGCAGAUCUCUGGGCCGUAACUGACGCUGAGGAGCGAAAGCGUGGGGAGCGAACAGGAUUAGAUACCCUGGUAGUCCACGCCGUAAACGUUGGGCGCUAGAUGUAGGGACCUUUCCACGGUUUCUGUGUCGUAGCUAACGCAUUAAGCGCCCCGCCUGGGGAGUACGGCCGCAAG